rnacentral:tRNA from 1 species
AGACCCUGGCACGUGCUUAACGUACAUCAAUGAGCUUGCAACUCAACAUGAACUUCACCACAGGGCC